rnacentral:lncRNA from 13 species
AAGAAGUUUAUAGACAUUUUCUGUUUAUUUGUGCCUCAUCCACCAAUCAAAGCAGCCUAAGUCACUGCCUGGCUCACAAGGGUCUGAUGUGGGUCCUAUUAUGCUGUCUGUUGGGGGUGCGGCUCAGAGUCCAAGCUGGCGGGUUUCCAGCAGCCCAUGCCAGCAGGGGAAGGAGAGGCCCCCUGCCCGCGUGGCAUUCAGCAGCUCAGACCCAGGGGGCCUGCCAUCUUCAUUUUGCCAGCAGAAGAAGCACAACUGCCAAGAUUCAGUUUCAGAGGUCCUGGAGGCCAAGGGGCCACAGUGCCUCGCCUGCUGGAGGUGACCAAUGGGAUACAGAGCCUCGUGGCACCCUAACCUCAUCCUCCAUCUAGCCUGCCAGGUGAGCACUCCUGGUGUGCAGUGCAGACAGGCGGACACACCCUCAGGCCUCCGCACGACACAGCGCCCAAGGUCCUCGCAGUCAUCCUCCCUAGAAUUCUCCCCACAUCAAGCCUCCGAGAGGGCCACGUGACAAGGAGGCAAUUUUGUGCACACGCAGUUUCGCCUGCUCAAGGGCUUGGAUUGCGGUGGCUCAGCAUCCCGCCUCGUGCAGCUGCAGAUGAAAAGCUUCAGAAACGCGUCUUGACUAAAAUGUCUCCAAGAUUGCCUGUAAUUUCGGCGAGAGGAUUUUUCCUUUCUUUCCCUCGUUCCUCUUCACUUGGCUUUUUCUCACUUUUUAAAAAGCACAGUCAUUAAAGAAGAUCCCUAAGGAAAUGAAACACAGAAUGCUAUGUGAACAUAUCUCAGAACUUCUGACUCUCGGUGCUCAAUUCCCCAGGAAACGUUGGAUUAAGUCAGUUAGUUCCACAUUUACAGAAACCGGAAACAGGCUGGGGAAAUUAUUCAGAAUGAAACGAGUAGCUGAUCUAGUCUCUCUGCCCAAAGCUACUCUCACUUAUGAAAUUUUUAUGAAUGAGAAACACGAAGCUACCAGCACCCCAGGGUGUUGAGAGCCAUACCAGAUCCCCGGUGGGGAAGGCCUGACACGUGCAGAUGCAGGACUCCGUUGGCGCCUCUGUCAAAUGUGUGUCAUAGAACACGCAGCGACAUUGUUACAAGAUAAAUGUGGCCCUGCCUGGUGACUAGUUACCUUCUAAAAUUCACCUUCUUCCAUAAUUUUAUGAACCUCUAAAGUCACAAGCCCCUGCUGCAUCUCAGCUCAAAACAGCAUUUGCAAUGGCUGCUGGCUCAAUAUGUAACGUUCUUUGUCACGCCGCAGGAAAAGAAGACGUGAACAGCUGUGUCUGUUUGGAGAGUCUGCGACCACAAUACUGUAGUUAGGUUGAAAUAUGAUUAUUGGAGUUUUUCCUGCAUAAUUGUUUGACAUAGUGAUGGGGUAUGAUACAGGGAUGCUUCCACGGGUUCUUCAUAUUCACGAUUCUUCAGAAAGAACAGCCUUUGUCAAGCAGAAAGAGGAUGUCCACUAUAACCACGGUAUUUCCUCAUAAUGCUCAGUCACAUACACCUCAUCAGACACUACAUAACAAUGUUCUAUAUUCUGUCCUUAUACUGGUGUUUAUUUAAGUAAAGUAUGUUACAAAAAUAUAUUUUUACAUAAAAUAUAUUUUUCAUUUUCCAAUUAGCAUGUAGUAAAAUUGACCACAAACUUUAAAACCCAGAAAAACACCUCAGGGCAGUUUAGAAAUAAUUUUCAUCAGCUGUUUGUCAAACAUGCAUAUGUCAAAUACAUUGUAAAAUACCGUCUCGCCUCUCACUGUACAAUAGGAGAUGUAUUCUUUAUAAUAGUCCAAAAGCCAAAGAAAGGGAAAUGGAGGAAGGCUGAAAAUGCUGUGGUUUCAUAUACAAUUCUGGAUCUUUCAAAAUAAAUGCAAGACAAAAACAAAAGGCCA